rnacentral:rRNA from 1 species
CUACGGGGCGCACCAGUGGGGAAUCUUGCGCAAUGGGCGAAAGCCUGACGCAGCAACGCCGCGUGCGGGAAGAAUGCCCUUUGGGCUGUAAACCGCUUUCAGCAGGAACGAAAAUGACGGUACCUGCAGAAGAAGAAGCGGCCAACUAUGUGCCAGCAGCCGCGGUGAUACAUAGGCUUCGAGCGUUGUCCGGAUUUAUUGGGCGUAAGGAGUUCGUAGGCGGUUAAGUAAGUCGGGUGUGAAAAUUCUGGGCUCAACCCAGAAACGCCACCCGAUACUGCUUGACUUGAGUUCGACAGGGGAGUGGGGAAUUCCUAGUGUAGCGGUGAAAUGCGCAGAUAUUAGGAGGAACACCGGUGGCGAAGGCGCCACUCUGGGUCGACACUGACGCUGAGGAACGAAAGCAUGGGUAGCAAACAGGAUUAGAUACCCCCGUAGUC